rnacentral:rRNA from 1 species
UACAGAGGGUGCGAGCGUUAAUCGGAAUUACUGGGCGUAAAGCGCGCGUAGGCGGCUUUGCAAGUCGGGUGUGAAACCCCCAGGCUUAACCUGGGAACUGCAUUCGAGACUGCAUUGCUAGAGUAUGGGAGAGGGAAGUGGAAUUUCCGGUGGUAGCGGUGAAAUGCGUAGAGAUCGGGAGGAACAUCUGUGGCGAAGGCGGCCAUCUGGACCAGCACUGACACUGAGGCACGAAAGCGUGGGGAGCAAACAGG